rnacentral:rRNA from 1 species
ACGAAGAAGUUUACUUCUUAGUGGCAAACGGGCGAGUAAAACAUAUUCAACCUACCUAUGCGAGGAGAAUAGCAACUCGAAAGAGUUAUUAAUGGUCCAUAGGUUUUUAGAGUAAAUUAAAGGGCGCUCCCGAAAGGGGGCGUUGCGCAUAGAUGGGAGUAUGUCCUAUUAGAUAGUUGGUGGGGUAAAGGCCUACCAAGUCGGCGAUGGGUAGCUGGGCUGAGAGGUCGUACAGCCGCAAUGGGAUUGAGAUAUGGCCCAUAUUCCUACGGGAAGCAGCAGUGGGGAAUUUUUCACAAUGGACGAAAGUCUGAUGGAGCAAUACCACGUGAGCGAUGAAUGUCUUCUGAUUGUAAAGCUCUUUUAUUUAGGAUAAAAAGCAUGAUAGGAAAUGAUUAUGCCUUGAUCGUACUAAAUGAAUAAGUGACAGCUAACUAUGUGCCAGCAGCUGCGGUAACACAUAGGUCACAAGCAUUAUCCGGAUUUAUUGGGCGUAAAGAAAGCGUAGGCGGAGAGUUUGAUCUAGUGUUAAAUGCACCUGCUCAACAGGUGCAUGCAUUAGAAAUCAGCUAUCUAGAAUUAGUUAGAGGGUACUGGAAUUCAAUGUGGAGUGGUGGAAUACGUAGAUAUAUUGAGGAACACCAGAGGCUAAGGCGAGUACCUGGGACAUAAUUGACGCUAAGGCUUGAAAGCGUGGGGAGCAAAUGGGAUUAGAUACCCCAGUAGUCCACGCCGUAAACGAUGGGUAUUAGGUAUUUGGAUGAUGUCUGAGUGCUGUAGCUAACGCGUUAAAUACCCCGCCUGGGUAGUAUAUAUGCAAAUAUGAAACUCAAAGAAAUUGACGGGGACCUGAACAAGUGGUGGAGCAUGUUGCUUAAUUCGAUAAUACACGAAAAACCUUACCAAGGCUUGUAAUCUUU